GAUAUUAAACUGCAUGAGGUCUAAGUUUUUCAAGGUUUUUUUUUUUGAUAUUGCAAUUAAAAUAAAAUUAAAAAAAAAA
rfam:Macropus eugenii Contig814808, whole genome shotgun sequence.